UGGGGUGUAGCUCAGUGGAAGAGCACACGUUUAGCAUGCACAAGGUCCUGGGUUCAAUCCCCAGUAUCUCCA
rnacentral:tRNA from 1 species